rnacentral:rRNA from 1 species
UACGAAGGGGGCUAGCCGUUGCUCGGAAUUCACUGGGCGUAAAGGGUGCGUAGGCGGGUUUUUAAGUCAGAGGUGAAAUCCUGGAGCUCAACUCCCAGAACUGCCUUUGAUACUGGAAGUCUUGAGUAUGGGAGAGGUGAGUGGAACUGCGAGUGUAGAGGUGAAAUUCGUAGAUAUUCGCAAGAACGACCAGUGGCGAAGGCGGAGCUCGAUCUGGCCCAUUAGUCGACGC